ACACAUGCAAGUCGAACGGUAACAGGAAGCAGCUUGCUUCUUUGCUGACGAGUGGCGGACGGGUGAGUAAUGUCUGGGAAACUGCCUGAUGGAGGGGGAUAACUACUGGAAACGGUAGCUAAUACCGCAUAACGUCGCAAGACCAAAGAGGGGGACCUUCGGGCCUCUUGCCAUCGGAUGUGCCCAGAUGGGAUUAGCUUGUUGGUGGGGUAACGGCUCACCUAGGCGACGAUCCCUAGCUGGUCUGAGAGGAUGACCAGCCACACUGGAACUGAGAACACGGUCCAGACUCCUACGGGAGGCAGCAGUGGGGAAUAUUGCACAAUGGGCGCAAGCCUGAUGCAGCCAUGCCGCGUGUAUGAAGAAGGCCUUCGGGUUGUAAAGUACUUUCAGCGGGGAGGAAGGGAGUAAAGUUAAUACCUUUGCUCAUUGACGUUACCCGCAGAAGAAGCACCGGCUAACUCCGUGCCAGCAGCCGCGGUAAUACGGAGGGUGCAAGCGUUAAUCGGAAUUACUGGGCGUAAAGCGCACGCAGGCGGUUUGUUAAGUCAGAUGUGAAAUCCCCGGGCUCAACCUGGGAACUGCAUCUGAUACUGGCAAGCUUGAGUCUCGUAGAGGGGGGUAGAAUUCCAGGUGUAGCGGUGAAAUGCGUAGAGAUCUGGAGGAAUACCGGUGGCGAAGGCGGCCCCCUGGACGAAGACUGACGCUCAGGUGCGAAAGCGUGGGGAGCAAACAGGGAUUAGAUACCCUGGUAGUCCACGCCGUAAACGAUGUCGACUUGGAGGUUGUGCCCUUGAGGCGUGGCUUCCGGAGCUAACGCGUUAAGUCGACCGCCUGGGGAGUACGGCCGCAAGGUUAAAACUCAAAUGAAUUGACGGGGGCCCGCACAAGCGGUGGAGCAUGUGGUUUAAUUCGAUGCAACGCGAAGAACCUUACCUGGUCUUGACAUCCACGGAAGUUUUCAGAGAUGAGAUAUGUGCCUUCGGGAACCGUGAGACAGGUGCUGCAUGGCUGUCGUCAGCUCGUGUUGUGAAAUGUUGGGUUAAGUCCCGCAACGAGCGCAACCCUUAUCCUUUGUUGCCAGCGGUCCGGCCGGGAACUCAAAGGAGACUGCCAGUGAUAAACUGGAGGAAGGUGGGGAUGACGUCAAGUCAUCAUGGCCCUUACGACCAGGGCUACACACGUGCUACAAUGGCGCAUACAAAGAGAAGCGACCUCGCGAGAGCAAGCGGACCUCAUAAAGUGCGUCGUAGUCCGGAUUGGAGUCUGCAACUCGACUCCAUGAAGUCGGAAUCGCUAGUAAUCGUGGAUCAGAAUGCCACGGUGAAUACGUUCCCGGGCCUUGUACACACCGCCCGUCACACCAUGGGAGUGGGUUGCAAAAGAAGUAGGUAGCUUAACCUUCGGGAGGGCGCUUACCAC
rnacentral:rRNA from 1 species